GCUCAGAACGAACGCUGGCGGCGUGCUUAACACAUGCAAGUCGAACGCGAAAGGGACUUCGGUCCUGAGUAAAGUGGCGCACGGGUGAGUAACGCGUGGAUAAUCUACCCGAUGGACUGGGAUAACAUCUCGAAAGGGGUGCUAAUACCGGAUAAGACCACGGAGUCUAUGGACUUCGCGGUAAAAGGUGGGGACCUUCGGGCCUACCGUCAUCGGAUGAGUCCGCGUACCAUUAGCUAGUUGGUGGGGUAAGAGCCUACCAAGGCGACGAUGGUUAGCUGGUCUGAGAGGAUGAUCAGCCACACUGGAACUGAGACACGGUCCAGACUCCUACGGGAGGCAGCAGUGGGGAAUUUUGCGCAAUGGGGGAAACCCUGACGCAGCAACGCCGCGUGAGUGAUGAAGGCCUUCGGGUCGUAAAGCUCUGUCAGAGGGAAAGAAGUGCAGUGGUGCUAAUAUCAUCAUUGCUUGACGGUACCCUCAAAGGAAGCACCGGCUAACUCCGUGCCAGCAGCCGCGGUAAUACGGAGGGUGCGAGCGUUGUUCGGAAUUAUUGGGCGUAAAGCGCGUGUAGGCGGUUUGGUAAGUCUGAUGUGAAAGCCCCGGGCUCAACCUGGGAAGUGCAUUGGAAACUGUCAGACUUGAAUACGGGAGAGGGUAGUGGAAUUCCUAGUGUAGGAGUGAAAUCCGUAGAUAUUAGGAGGAACACCGGUGGCGAAGGCGGCUACCUGGACCGAUAUUGACGCUGAGACGCGAAAGCGUGGGGAGCAAACAGGAUUAGAUACCCUGGUAGUCCACGCCGUAAACGAUGAGUACUAGGUGUUGCGGGUAUUGACCCCUGCAGUGCCGCAGCUAACGCAUUAAGUACUCCGCCUGGGAAGUA
rnacentral:rRNA from 1 species